UUGUACAAUUGAAAUUCAUGAAGCUAUGAUGUGUAUGAGUGUAUUUGAGCUUCUAAGGCUAUAAUGGUUACCUAAGCCUCCGUUUUUGAUGUUUGCUAACCUACAAAAUGUGCACAACAUAUGUUCGAUGAAGCUUUAAGCCUUAAAGAUUCUGUGUACACAUCCUGGGUUACCGAGGGUGAUGAACCUGGUGCAUAUGGUUGUUGUAUCUGUUGCAUUUCAGAGUUGUAAAGUGGUAUUUUGUGAAAUAAUUUUCUGGUAUUUUGUUGAGGGUAUGGGUUUAAGCAUCAGAUUCAGUUGUUGAACAACCGGAUGUCAUGUUGGUCGGUUAACCCAUUGGCCGAUGGGUUAUGAAUGCGAUUGGCUUUUGUAUCGGUUUUUUACACUCUCUUUUGUUGUUGGUUUUACUGGGCGAUGAUGUUGGCACACUACUUGGCGUGGCUAACUGAACUCCGGUUGCAGCCGUAGCGGCCCUGAACCUUACUUUGUUGAUUACGGCGAUGAGGAAAUUUCUGAGCCUAUUUGUUUUCACAUGAUUUGUGGACUAUGGUGUUACAGAUUCUGAAGCUUCAGUAUGUAUGCAGAAGAAGAUUGAAGUUUAGUUUGUGAAAGUAGGGUUCAAGAAAUGGUUAUAUGGUUUUAUUCUUCAUAUGGUUUGGCUGUGGAAGUAGGUGUGAUUUUUUUUUUUCAGUUGUUACUUUUGUACAUGAAGUGGAAUGCAUGUGAAAACAAAUUUCUGGAUAGGUGAUUUAAAUGUAUUUAUAAGUUUUUUUUUUUUAAUUUUGAUAAAUGGUUGUUUUGU
rnacentral:lncRNA from 1 species